AACGCACCUUGCGCUCUUGGGUAAUCCCAAGAGCAUGCCUGUUUGAGUGUCAUGAAUCUCUCACAAAGCAAGUUUUUUAACAAAAGCUUUUGCGGCGUGGAUCUGAGCGUUUGCCUGCGAUAAGCCUGGGCUCGCUUGAAAUGGAGUAGCGAGUUUGUAUGAAUGCAAACCUUGCCGUUCAUCGUUAUGGUUUCCUUCGAUGAGUAAGCGGCUUGGUGGAACGUUUAUAAUAGAAGACUUGCUUCCAAUCGCGUUGUAAGGACGCAACUUUUUAUUUCAUCUGGCCUCAAAUCAGGUAGGACUACCCGCUGAACUUAA
rnacentral:misc_RNA from 1 species